AAGGGCUAGUACCAGAGCACCAUCCCCAUUUUAUUGGAACUUAUUGGGGUGCCGUGAGCACUGCUUUUUGUGCUGAAAUUGUGGAAUCUGCUGAUGCUUAUUUGUUUGCUGGACCUAUAUUUAAUGACUAUAGCUCGGUUGGGUACUCUCUUCUUCUCAAGAAGGAGAAGGCAGUCAUUCUGCAGCCUGAUCGUGUGGUGAUUGCUAAUGGACCGGCAUUUGGUUGUGUUUUGAUGAAGGAUUUCCUCAAAGCACUUUCAAAGCGGCUCAAAAGCAACACUACUGCUUAUGAGAAUUACCACAGGAUUUAUGUUCCUGAGGGGCAACCUCCGAAGUGUGAACCCAAAGAGCCCUUGAGAGUGAAUGUUCUGUUCCAACAUAUACAGAAGAUGCUGUCUAGUGAAACUGCUGUGAUUGCUGAGACAGGGGACUCUUGGUUUAACUGCCAGAAACUGAAAUUGCCUAAGGGAUGCGGGUGAGCAUAAGAAAAUCUGAUUCUUCAUGUUUGCUGGUUCUAAACCUUCUAUAAAAUUUACCAAAUAAUG
rnacentral:lncRNA from 1 species